GGUUCCAGAUGUUGCAUUCGCGUAAUAUUGUAGUUAUAGUGCUAAGUUAAUGUCAUUGUAAGAGUGAUGCAUGCAACAUAUGUUUGCGGCUCUGGCAAAUAUUGUUAAGUUUACUGUGUGAUUCUUGAGCCGUGAUGGCGUAGAGGUUAAAGGCAUUGAUACUGCAGGAGGCUAUCAAAUUUUCUGGCCGGCACAUUUAAACUUGCAAAAAGGAAUUAAAGAACUCUAACCACCCAACUAAAUGGAAAAGUAAAGAAACCUAACCAAUCUCCCAUCCAUGAAUGUAAUUAAAGGCCAAAGCAACCACCAUCUUCCAGCAAUUAACUAUUUUUGCUUGUCUUUCCUGAUAAAAUUAAAGCAGACUGUUUUAAAUAGAGGGGAUAAAGAUAAGAAAGAUGGAGCAAAAGAGCAGCAGCAACAGCAGCCGCAGCAGUAGCAGCAACUGCAAGGACACGAAGCUUCGCAAAACUUCUUCUCUUAAAUCCCAGACAUCAAUAAUUUGACCAUGGUCAUAAGUAUGCUUGUGAUACACAUGGUUGGCUCGGAUAAAGCUUCAGGUGGUCCGGUCUUUUUCGUUUAAAAGGUACACAUUUCUUCAUCAAUUUACUCGGUCAAGUUAUCAGUCUAUUGAAUAGAGAUUAUUCUGCCACACAGAACGGUGACCACUAUAACUAACAACUGUUACAUAUCUCUGAUGGAUUCAAUUCUCUGAAUGAUCAUGAAUGAGCACAAGAAUAUAUAUCCGCACGUUGUGCAAAUCCUCAAGAGAUUAACCGAGAAGUUAAACUUUUUAAAUCAUUAAUUAAGUUAAUAUACCCACAUACCGUUUCUUUUUACCAGUGGUCUCUGUGAGUUGAAAUAGAUUGUGCAAUAACCUUCUUCUGAAGCUAAGUUCUGUAGUCAUCAACAAGAUGAGGGUCAUUUUGCACUUUUCUACGGAUAUGAAGCCUUUUAUGAUAAUACUGUGCAGUAUAGACUCUAAGCAAUAUGUUUAUUAGGUAAUAGCAUGGAAAUCAAUAAGAUCAUAUUAAGAUUCUGUUAGAUUAAUAUAUGAUCCUGAUAAGCCCUUUUUCUAACACCUUGAGGUUUGGAGAGAAUUGGUCACUUAACAUGAUAAUAUUAGAGCUCAGGUUUGGCGGAGGUCUAACAAAUGAGAUUCCGAGUGAGAGGAGUGUUGAAUUAUAGCAUAAAAUCUAUUUGGGGUCUUCCUCUAACCCCUUAAGGUUUUAGAUGGACUGGUUCUCCACAUCAAAGGUAGUUCAAUCGUUGACACAGAGAAUUGUAUAAGCAAAGACUUGCCGCUGUUAGCUAGGAAGCUCGCAAUAAUAAUUUCUCUUUCGAACUUCUUUUCAUUGAACUACGUUUCCAUUUGAAGUCCUUAAUUAUAAGUGAGUAUCUCUGUGUAAAUACAAAAUGAAUGUCUCACAAACUAUGUAAAAUCAACUUUUCCUAGAGUCGAAAUUGAGUAAAUGAAAACUUAAUUCAGAUAGGUUUCUUAAUAUCCUCCAACUGCAGGAACAAACUCUCUAAGUGUAGUAGGCUUUAGAUACAUCCUCCCCAGUGAUGGGAUACACCGGGUAUGUUUGGUUUGAUUUCUCUCGUUAUAGCAAGAGCUUUCAUCCAAACUAUAUCAUCACAACUAAAAUUUUCCAACAACAGUUGAUUCCAAUUCCGUUGACAUAAAUGCAACUGGAGUCUCAUUCAUUGCCUGCAAACUAUUACCGGUUUUUCCCCUGGCUGCCUGGUUUUUUUUGGUUAAAUUUACUAGCCACUUAGCCAGAUGUUUGAUGUAACCUAAAACUGAAAGCAGAAACAUAGCUAGCAUGAGCUUGAACUCAUUGUCUUAUAGUCGAACCAGUAUAAUUGUUGUAGGCAAGCGACUCUAAAUCCUGUGCAUAAGUCUUGAUUACUGCCAUGAAGCCCUCGUGAAAAAUAUCACCUCCAAAUACAAAACGAAAAAAUUUCGAAUAAACUACUCUGCUAACCUUAAAGAUUGAUAGGAAACGGUUCAAACAUUUAUUAUAUUUUCACAAGAGGUUCAUAUUAUCUAGGUCUUGUUUGGCUUUAUUGCCUGUUUUCUGUUUUCAGGAAACAACACUAUUUUGUUUUAUUAAAAUUGUUUUUUUGUUCUUAAAAGGAAAAAACAAUUUUUUUUUACGAAAUCAAGUAGCCAUUUAGAUACCACAGUUUAAAGUUCAUUUUCAAGAGCGAUCGGUGAUGGUAGUGUGAUUUUUUUUUAAAACCGCAAAUCGAACCGUAUAUAUGAUUUGAUUAAAUAUUUGAACUGUAAUCCACCAUGCUAGCAUAAAAAUCGUGUAAAUCACGUACCUCACAAAAAACUGCGCUGCGGUACGGUUUAUGUGAUCGAUUCAUAUAUAGAAUUAUAGAUAUUUUUAGUUGAAAUUAUGAAUAAAGUUUAUUUAUAUUAUAAUUAAAACAUCCUUUCACAGUUACACCAACUAUUUAAAAAUAUAAGUAAAAUUAUAAAAUAAUAAGGGAUAUAUUAUAACUAUAAUGUUUUUCCAAAUUUUGAUAUAAAAUAAUAAUUUUAAAUUUAUAAAAUAAUAAUUAAUUAUUAUUUGAAGAGAUUUAACAAAUAUAUACGUAACAAAAUUAUAAAUAAUAUACAUAUGUAUAUAAUGUAAUUUUAUUUAACAAAUACUAACAUAUUUGUAUAUAAUGAGUUAAGUUCCAUGUAGUCCACAUAUUUACUGUAAUACCGUAGACCACGUAUGUUCUGCAACUAUAAAAGGCAUAAAAACAUUGCAAAAUGUAUGAAACUUGUUAUUUUGUGAAAUACAUUCUAUAAAUAUCACUAUUUCAUGAAAAAUAUUGAAAAUCAUUUAUGUUCGACAAGUAGAACACAUAUGUUCUGUAAUAUGUAAAUAUGUUCUGCAAACUUAACAUGUUUUGCAGAAUAAUGUGUUUUUCACUAUUUAACUUGUAGAAUAUUUAGGAUUGUCAAAAUAUUUAACAAAAUAAUGAUGUUUAUAGAACAUGAUUUGCAAAAUAACACAUUUUGCAAUGUUUUUAUGUCAUUCUAUAGUUGCAGAACAUACCUAAGGUACCAUCUUUGUUCAUGUUGUCUGAAUUGCAUCACGAGAAUUAAGAAUCAUAUUUCGUGGUGCAGUGUAAUUUGGUGCAUACGACUUAUACACAAUUUUCUGAUCACACUUAAAUAAUCGCUCAACACCUUAAUGUUGUUUUUGUUGUCUGACACUCUGACGUGUAUAUCUGAAAAUGUAACUUCUCAUUACUUAAUCCUUCAUCGAUAUUCUGACAGAAAUCAUAAUAUCAAAAUUAUUUUGCUUCGAAUUAUUUUGCUUCUGAUUUUCGCUUUAUUCAGAAUAAAGUAGUUAUGGAUGCAGAUUCAAAUUUUAUUAACUUCUGUGGCCUUCAGCUAGCUGAAGCCACCCUGCUUCCAUGAAUAUCCAGCUUUGGCCUUCAUGACUUCACCUCCGUCAUUAUAUAACAAUCCCCACAUUUUUGUUUCCACUUUUGCCCCCUGUAGGAUCAUGCAUCAACUUGUUUACUCUAAAAUUUUGUGACCAUGCAUAAUGGUCAUGACUCGUGCAAUGGGGACCAUGCUUCAUCUAUCAAUUGAAAACUCUUCCACUCCUUGAAUAGCUUCAACUACCCAUUGUUAGGUUAGCAGUAGAGCCUCAUUAAAUUGGGUAUUCACUGACUUGUGACAUCUGCAAAUUGUUCUCUUAUCCUUUCACAGAUUUACAAGCAGAUAUCCAAACUCCCCUAGUUUGUUUCUGCUUUUUUAAUUUCCUAUUGUUGGUAAACACCAAUGUUUGUGCAUUUUGAACCAACUUUUUAAGCAAUCACUGCGCCCCUAGAAUCAAUGUUUUGAAUUCAAGACUAGGAACUCCGAGAGCAACUGGAUAGCCCAAGUGAUGGAUUUAUCCUAUGUUGUCCCAGAACACCCAGGUCCGACUCUCGCUCAUCCAAGAAGUAUUAUAACAAAAACUCUUUUAUAAGGUGUAUAAGCGAAAAUUGUAAAAAAGAAAAAAACAAAACCUAGGAACUCCAAGUAGUAGAAACACAUCUAAGGCAAUAUAUCAUAUAGAGAUCAUGAAUCAAGCUAAAAUUGCUUGCUUUAAUUGAAAGAAAUAUUUCCAUGCGCCGAUAUCCAGAAGCAAAAAAGCUAAACUUGGAGCAACAUAAGGUCUCACAUUAUGAAAAUAAAUCAGUUUAAAACAAGGUCUACACCAGACAAACUAGUUUACUUCACAUAGCAAAAAGGAAUGAGUUGGUUCAAAGCCAAAACCCAAGAGCUGAGGCUUCAAAGUUUACCAACAGAAACCUCAGAAAAAGCAUGACUCCCAAAAACAAUUACACUAAGUCUAAAAGGAAACAUAGUUAACAGAAGUUUUGGUUUAUGUAAGCUAAGUUUACAUUGAUCUUCCAUGAGCUAAGUCAAUGCCCGAACCACUGACUGGCGAUACUGUUGUUUGCCGCUGCAUGACCUUCAACGAACACCAGGAGAAGGACGUACAAGGUGCGUUCUUGACUUUCUCACUUGGUUUUAAAACCAGCAGUAAACGAAGCUUGCAUAGCCUUUCUUCUUGUUGUCACUACUCUAUCUGCAAAACAAAUAAAAAUGGUGUGAUUUCCUGAUAAAAAUAAAAUAAAAUAUCACAUAUGAAAUUCAAGCUUUGCAACUAAAAACAUAUUUGAUGCAUUAAUAAGAGGAUACUUCAGACAAGGCAUAAUGAAACAUGAUACUGAAAGUGAAGGCUCUAACUUUCAAUGGAUACUACAAUAUGCAAUCAAGAUAAUGUAAAAUUCAUUUUAAAAUAGCCAGGAAAUAAUGUAUGUCCAGCCUCAAUAAUAUGCAGAGCCUUACCUUAUAAUGGAUGACCCUUAGGUCAAACAUUUGGAUCACAAACUACUGCACUUUUGAUCCUUUCUACUGUGCAUUUGAUGAGGCUGUUUACGGUCGCCACAGAUCCCAGUGAGAGCUUUGCUGUUGGAACUGAAUCAACCAGAAUCUGAAAUGCAACAGU
rnacentral:lncRNA from 1 species